rnacentral:ncRNA from 1 species
AAUUUGGAGAGUUUGAUCCUGGCUCAGGACGAACGCUGGCGGCAUGCCUAAUACAUGCAAGUCGAGCGGAGUUGUUUUGGAAGCUUGCUUCCAAAACAACUUAGCGGCGGACGGGUGAGUAACACGUAGGUAACCUGCCUAUAAGACGGGGCGAAGGG